CUGGGUGACUUUGGGCCAAUCACUUUCUCUCAGCUGAACUUGUUGUGGAGGGGAAAAUAAAAGUUGGAACAUUAGAGUUUUCCGACUCCUUUGAAAAAGACGGAAUGAAGAUUAUCUGAUGUCUUUGACUGCACUGCACUAUUUUUUCUCCAGGUUUUUGACAGAGAGCAGUCAUGGAAACAUGGAACACCACCUUUGGUUAUGGCCCUGGAAAUAUAAGACUUUCUGU